CACAUGCAAGGAUUCCAUCCUAAUAACAUCCCUCUGGGCUUUCACAUUAUUUCCUAGAAGUGACUUCGAUUUCUCCUGUCUUGUCCAAGGCUCCAGGACCUCUAACAAUGGAACUCGGUAAGAACUAAAAAUCUGAAACAGAAUUGAUGCAGCAGGCACACGAGGACACCGAAAAGUAAAUGGUAGCAGCCCAGUUGGGAAAAGGAACUAGAACCUGAAAUACCACCAAACCAGCAUUUCCAGGUUCUAACUCCAACACCUUUUCACAAUCCUGAAAAGCACUGUUCCAGUUCUGUAGCUUGAGUUCUGCUUGAGCGCGAUUGUUAUAGGCCACUACAUUGGGAAGCACUGAUAUACUCCUACAAGAGAGACACUUAUUGGCAACAAGUUGACCAGAGGAAAACAUAUGAAGAUAGAGAAACUCAGAGAUGAUGAAGUCAAAAUGAGGUCAUGAUGGUAUACCUUCGUCCAAUAUGACUGGUGUCCUUAUAAGAAGAGAUUAGAACACAGACACAUGCCGAGGAAAGACCACUUGAAGACACAGAGAGAAGACAGUCACCUACAAGCCAGAACAGGGGCCCAGAAGACGCCAGCCCUCCUGACACUUUGAUCAGAUUUGUAGCCUCCAGGAUGGUGAGAAAAUACAUUUCUGUUUGAGCCCCUCAGCCUGUGGCACUUUGUUAUGGCAGUCCUAGCAAGCUAAUACAGCCUACAGGAUCAAAAGCAAUAAAAUACAGCUCUGUAAACAUACUGAAUCACUAUUUACACAGAUGCUUAAAUAUCCAGUUAAGCAGUUUAAGGUUGGCUCUGGCUUUACAAGUGACAUGGUAACCUAAACGCCCAUAGAUCUCCUAAAAAAAACA